rnacentral:lncRNA from 1 species
CUACUUGUUAGACUGGAGCUGAGGCCUAAGCCACGCCCUCAGCCAGCCCCUCACUGAGGUUUCUAGGGGUGGGGGUGCCUGGCUCUACGGCUUAGCCCUGUAGCCAGCCCCUCACGGGGUUUCUAGGCGGGGCUGCACCUCUGAGCCACACCUCCAGCCCCUCACUGGGAGAAUCUUGGCGUGUACGGCUGCAUACCGUGUGCAUGUACCGUGGCGUCUCCAGAAGAAGGUUUGCGAUCCCCUGGAACUGGAGUUACAGACAGUUGUGAACUUUCCUGUGGGUGCUGAGAACCAAACCAGGGAACGAGGUGGGAAGAAGUGAUUCCUGUCACCUACAGGCCCGGCUGGAACCCAACAUCCCAGCACCACAAAUCCCUCAACUUCCCCCUUCCCUUUGACAUCCCAACCCCUCUGCCCAGUCCCCCAACCCCCCAUGCCCCCACACCCCCACCCUGUCUCAGCACAGCAAUGGCUCUGCUUGUUGGAUGAUGGAAGAAAUUCCAGCAAGUCCAAGCAACUCAAGGUGCAUGUUGCUGACUCGAGGGCUGGAAAAACCUGCUGGGGAUGUUUGUGGCCCAGUUUUCUGAGUCUGGAGGUCUGGAUGUGACCUCCCAUUUGUCAUUGCUCUGGUGGCUCCUUAGGCAUCUUCUGCCUUGAAGAGUUACAGGAUCGGGAAAGACGAAGCAGGGAGCCUGCUCCCUGCGUUUGUGGUUUUCUUUUUGGACAGGGUUUCAUGUGGUGUGGGCUGGCUCACGGACAUGCAGCCUGUCUGCUCUUCCUGCCUCUGUCUCCCUGGGCUAGAGAGUGAAACCUUGUCUCAGGACCAGAAGUCUCAUCACUGCAAAGAAGCUGAAAGAGCUUUUUCCUGUAUGUAUGGCUGUGUACCAUGUGAAUGCCUGGUGUCUUUGGUGGCCAGAGGAAGGUGUUGAAUCCCCCUGGAACUGGAGUUACAGACAGUUGUGAAUUACCAUGGUUUCUCUGUAGCUCUGUCUGUCCUGGAACUCACUUUGAAGAUCAGGCUGGCCUUGAACUCACAGAGAUUCACUUGCCUCUGCCUCCUGAGGGCUGGGAAUGACUCUCUCUCUCUUGAGACUGGAAGUAAUGUACUCCAGGCUGGCCUUAAACUCAUGACAAUCCUCCUGCCUCAGCCUCAUGAGUACUGAGAUGAAGGUUAUGCACUACCAUUUCCAGCUUGAAGGACAAAAUGCUGAAACCCAGCUUAGCCAGGCUCUGACCUCCUGUUGUGGACAGCUCACUGCAGUGCCAUUUACCACAAACUGCCCAGAAAUUACCUUGGAUGAUGGGGGUGGGGUUCCUGACCCAAGAAUGUCACACUGCUGGGGAUAGGAAAGAAACCUUGUCCAGUAUUCUGUAACAAGUCUGGUGAGGUUGCCAACCACAAUGGAUAGCACAUAGAUGGCAACUUCCUGGCAGGAAAAGGACUUGGGGACUUGCAAUUAUGGGUUUCAUGCCAGACUAGUAGAUUUCCUCACAAAGGCUAAAUAUGGCCCAGGGGCUGAACCUUCCAGAAUCAUCCUAGCCAUGUGGUCACUACAGUCUGUCUAAUCUCAGCUCUGAUGCUGCUGUGUCAGAGGAUAUCUGGCAAUAGCUGCCUUUUCUUUGGGGGACGCAGCUGGGUUGUCCUUUGUCAUCUACUUGGAGAAGUUGAUUCGGUGGCUAGCGGACAGUCCCCACAGAUGACUCACACACCAGCCUUGGCAUAUGCAAUGUAUUUCUAAUUAAAACAUUUGCUAUUUUAUUUUAAACAAGUUGCAAACGGCACUUGGGGAGAAGAUAUUUGGCAGAGCACGAUAAACAGAACUCAGGUGCAGAAUAUACAAAAACCACUGAGAAAUCACUGAUGUGACUAUCGUCAGAGAGAAGGGGACAGGGGCUCAUGCCUGUCACUCAGAAGCCUCAGAAGGCUGAGGAGCAAGGGAUAGGAGUGUGGGGCCGUCCUGGUCUGCAGAGUUAGUGUAAAGCCAGCCUGGUCUGGUUUCUAUGAAACUGUCUCUAAAAGCUAUGGAUGACCCAGAGCAAAGGGCACUCCCACACACUGAUGUCCAGAGGCUGAUGUAGCCAUGGUUUCUUUUUGUUGUGGAUUUCUGUCACUCCACAGAAAGCCUGGUUCUCAGAGGCAGUGACCACUGUGGUAGUCUGAAUAUAACUGGCCCCCAUAAUCUCAUAGAGAGUGACAGUAUUCAGAGCUGUGGCUUUGUUGGAGUAGGUGCGGCCUUGUUGGAGGAAGUGUGUUACUGUGGGGGUGAGUUUUGAGGUCUCAUAUAUGCUCAAGCCAUACCCAGUGUCUUAGACCAUUUCCUGUUGCCCGAAUAUCAAGACACUCCCAUGCUCCCUGACCGAUAAUGGACUUAGCCUCUGAAAUGUACGUGGGCCAUCCCAAUGAAAUGUUUUCCCUUAUAAGAGUUGCCGUGGUCAUGGUGUCUCUUCAGAGCAAUAGGAACCCUAACUAAGACACUCCCCAAACCUACAAUACUCUGAAAAUGAGAAAACUCCCUUCUGUCCCUGGAAAGGAUCCAGGUAGAAGGCACCAACACUACAAGACUCAAAUGGCACCUUCCAGUCAGGUAUGUGGGAAGAAGGCCCAGGCUGCAGGUGACAGGAAGAGGGGAACCAGGGGGUGUGGCUCAGCUGUCAAUGAGCAGUUAUUAUUUCAAUCUUUAAAAAUCUUGCUGGCCAGGCGGUGGUGGCACAUGCCUUUAAUCCCAGCACUCGGGAGACAGAGGCAGGUGGACCUCUGUGAGUUUGAGGUCUACAGAGUGAGUUCCAGGACAGGCUCCAAAGCGACAGAGAAACCCUGUCAACAAAACAACACAACACAGAAAGCUGGCAAAGGAGAUGGCUCAGGGUUAAGAGCACUGGCUGAUCUGGCUUCAGUUCCCCACAGGACCAAAGGAAAAGUAAAAUUCAAGAACAACAAAAAUUGACCAGGCAGUUGGUGGCACACGCCUUUAAUCCCAGCACUCAGGAGGCAGAGGCAGGCGGAUCUCUGUGAGUUUGAGGCCAGCCUGGUCUACAGAGCGAGUGCCAGGACAACCUCCAAAGCCACAGAGAAACCCUGUCUUGUAACAAACAAACAAAC